AACGAACGCUGGCGGCAUGCCUAACACAUGCAAGUCGAACGAGACCUUCGGGUCUAGUGGCGCACGGGUGCGUAACGCGUGGGAAUCUGCCCUUGGGUACGGAAUAACAGCGAGAAAUUGCUGCUAAUACCGUAUAAUGACGUAAGUCCAAAGAUUUAUCGCCCAGGGAUGAGCCCGCGUAGGAUUAGCUUGUUGGUGAGGUAAAAGCUCACCAAGGCGACGAUCCUUAGCNGGUCUGAGAGGAUGAUCAGCCACACUGGGACUGAGACACGGCCCAGACUCCUACGGGAGGCAGCAGUGGGGAAGUAAUUGGACAAUGGGCGAAAGACCUGAUCCAGCAAUGCCGCGUGAGUGAU
rnacentral:rRNA from 1 species